rnacentral:rRNA from 1 species
UACGAAGGGGGCAAGCGUUGUUCGGAAUUACUGGGCGUAAAGUGUGCGCAGGCGGCAGAGCAAGUCGAGUGUGAAAGCCCCGGGCUUAACUUGGGAAUUGCGCUCGAAACUACUUUGCUGGAGUGUGGCAGAGGAAGGUGGAAUUCCACGUGUAGCGGUGAAAUGCGUAGAGAUGUGGAGGAACACCAAUGGCGAAGGCAGCCUUCUGGGCCAACACUGACGCUCAUGCACGAAAGCGUGGGGAGCAAACAGG